GAAAAGAAACCAACAGGGAUUGCCUUAGUAACGGCGAGUGAAGCGGCAAAAGCUCAAAUUUGAAAUCUGACACCUCUGGUGUUCGAGUUGUAAUUUGGAGAGGCAUCUUCUGGAGGGACCCAGCCUAUGUGCCUUGGAACAGGACGUCAUAGAGGGUGAGAAUCCCGUUCUUGGCUGGAUGUUCCCUCCUUUAUGUAGUGUCUUCUACGAGUCGAGUUGUUUGGGAAUGCAGCUCAAAAUGGGUGGUAAAUUUCAUCUAAAGCUAAAUACUGGCGAGAGACCGAUAGCGCACAAGUAGAGUGAUCGAAAGAUGAAAAGCACUUUGAAAAUAGAGUCAAAAAGUACGUGAAAUUGUUGAAAGGGAAGCGCUUGAGACCAGAGUCAGCCUUUGGCAAACAAUUGUCCUUCUGGGCGGUGCACUUGUCAUUGGUUGGGCCAGCAUCGGUUGGGACGGUGGGAUAAAGGCUUGGGAAAUGUGACUCCAUUAUGGAGUGUUAUAGUCCCAGGUGGCAUGCCAUCAGUUCCGACCGUGGACCGCGCCUUGGCUCGGAUGUUGGCUUAAUGGUCUUCA
rnacentral:rRNA from 1 species